UUUAAGCUUCCUACGGGAGGCUGCAGUGGGGAAUCUUGCGCACUGUUGCGAAAGCCUGACGCAGCCAUGCCGCGUGAAUGAUGAAGGUCUUAGGAUUGUAAAAUUCUUUCACCGGGGACGAUAAUGACGGUACCCGGAGAAGAAGCCCCGGCUAACUUCGUGCCAGCAGCCGCGGUAAUACGAAGGGGGCUAGCGUUGCUCGGAAUUACUGGGCGUAAAGGGAGCGUAGGCGGACAUUUAAGUCAGGGGUGAAAUCCCGGGGCUCAACCUCGGAAUUGCCUUUGAUACUGGGUGUCUUGAGUAUGAGAGAGGUGUGUGGAACUCCGAGUGUAGAGGUGAAAUUCGUAGAUAUUCGGAAGAACACCAGUGGCGAAGGCGACACACUGGCUCAUUACUGACGCUGAGGCUCGAAAGCGUGGGGAGCAAACAGGAUUAGAUACCCUUGUAGUCGAAUUCUU
rnacentral:rRNA from 1 species